rnacentral:lncRNA from 10 species
CUGCGGCCGCGCCCCGCCCCCAGCUCCCCGCACGCUGCCCCUCCCGCUCGUCUGUCCCGCUGGCGGCCCAGCGUGCUGGCUGUACGCGUCACUUCCGGCUGUGUCGGCGCGCGAAAAAAGGUCCUGGGUUGGAAUGUUUGUACUGGUCUGUGGCGGUGGUUGUCGGCUGUCCUGCCAGGAAAACUCGGCACUGACUAUCCCACUGCUGAUGCUGUAAAAGAGGUCCUUCUGCUAUGACGCAACUGUGGUUCCUCUGGUUCUGGGGACACUUAGGCCUCGCGUGCCGAUUUUCAUAGUUCCCUGUGGCUCCGAGCCGAGGGAGCCGCGGUGUGGAACGGAGGGAACCAGUGAUCUCAGUGCUGAAGAAAACAGGGAGUGUGUGUCUUCAUACUUGAUUUGCCUUACCGCAGGGGCAUAAUAUGAGAUAUCUGGGCGUGUUAAGUCGUUCUUGAUGAAAUGUGUCCUCUGUGAAUGUAGUCUCACUGUUAGACUAGGAAGAUGCUGUUUUGCUGUGCCCAGUUCCUCUUAAAAGUACAGAUGCUCCUUGGGUUGCAGCCGUAUAAACCCAUCCUAAAUAGAAAACGCGUUUUAAUACCCUUAUAAACGAAAAGGAUAAAUAAGCCUUUGGGUUCUGUAAUGUGAGCCAGCAUUCUUUGAGUGCGUAUGUGACAGGAACCAAAGAGAAGUGAAGGAAUGUGUCCAAGGGCUCCCAAGUUGGCGGUGGAAUUAGAAUUGAAGCCUCAGCUCCAAAGCCUGUGUUCUGAACUACCCGGUUGCAGUUCACAAAAUACACUUUGGCAGUACUUUCAUAACGAAAACAAAUGAUUACAACCAGUUUACAAAUGCUUUGCUUUACUGGAGGAUCGACAUGUUUGACUAAUUUUCAAAAAUAAAUCUCAGAAGCAGC